CAUCCGGGGAGCUAGCCCGAAGAAAAUUCGGAUCAAUACCCCUACGGUAUAAGAGCACGGCAUCGCGCACCUAUUAAAGCUACGGCGGUAAAAGAUGAGUAUGCGCUUCUAUUAGCUAGUUCGGAGAGGUAACGGCUCUCCAAGAGCGACGAUAGAUAGGGGUUCCGAGAGGGAAGUUCCCCACACUGGUACUGAGAUACGGACCAGACUCCUACGGGAGGCAGCAGUGAGGAAUAUUGGACAAUGGUCGGAAAGAACUGAUUCCAGCCAUGCCGCGUGCAGGAUGACGGCCUUAUGGGUUGUAAACUGCUUUUUGUAAGGGAAAAAUAAGAGCUACGCCUAGUUUGAUGACGGUACCUUACGAAUAAGCAUCGGCUAACUCCGUGCCAGCAGCCGCGGUAAUACGGAGGAAUGCGAGCGUUAUCCGGAAUCAUUGGGUUUAAAGGGUCCGUAGGCGGGCUAAUAAGUCAGGGGUGAAAUCGUUCAGCUCAACUGAGCAACUGCCUUUGAAACUGUUAGUCUUGAAUAGUUGUGAAGUAGUUGGAAUGUGUAGUGUAGCGGUGAAAUGCUUAGAGAUUACACAGAACACCGAUAGCGAAGGCAUAUUACUAACAAUUGAUUGACGCUGAUGGACGAAAGCGUGGGGAGCGAACAGGAUUAGAUACCCUGGUAGUCCACGCUGUAAACGAUGGAUACUAGCUGUUUGGACGCGAGUUUGAGUGGCUAAGCGAAAGUGAUAAGUAUCCCACCUGGGGAGUACGUUCGCAAGAAUGAAACUCAAAGGAAUUGACGGGGGCCCGCACAAGCGGUGGAGCAUGUGGUUUAAUUCGAUGAUACGCGAGGAACCUUACCAAGGUUUAAAUGGAGACUGACAGGGGUAGAGAUACCUUUUUCUUCGGACAGUUUUCAAGGUGCUGCAUGGUUGUCGUCAGCUCGUGCCGUGAGGUGUCAGGUUAAGUCCUAUAACGAGCGCAACCCCUGCCAUUAGUUGCUAACGAGUAAGGUCGAGCCCUCUAGUGGGACUGCCGGUGCAAACCGUGAGGAAGGUGGGGAUGACGUCAAAUCAUCACGGCCCUUACAUCUUGGGCUACACACGUGCUACGAUGGCCGUUACAGAGAGCAGCCGCUGCGUGAGCAGGCGCGAAUCUAUAAAGACGGUCACGAGUUCGGGGUCGGAGUCUGCGAACUCGAACUCCGUGAAAGCUGGAAUCGCUAGUGAAUCGGAAUAUCAGCCGUGA
rnacentral:rRNA from 1 species